UACGGGGGGGCAAGCGUUGUUCGGAAUUACUGGGCGUAAAGGGCUCGUAGGUGGUCAACUAAGUCGGACGUGAAAUCCCUCGGCUUAACCGGGGAACUGCGUCCGAUACUGGAUGACUUGAGUUCGGGAGAGGGAUGCGGAAUUCCAGGUGUAGCGGUGAAUGCGUAGAUAUCUGGAGGAACACCGGUGGCGAAGGCGGCAUCCUGGACCGACACUGACGCUGAGGAGCGAAAGCCAGGGAGCAAACGGG
rnacentral:rRNA from 1 species